GGAAUAUUGCACAAUGGGGGAAACCCUGAUGCAGCGAUGCCGCGUGGAGGAAGAAGGUUUUCGGAUUGUAAACUCCUGUCUUAAAGGACGAUAAUGACGGUACUUUAGGAGGAAGCUCCGGCUAACUACGUGCCAGCAGCCGCGGUAAUACGUAGGGAGCGAGCGUUGUCCGGAAUUACUGGGUGUAAAGGGAGCGUAGGCGGGAUUGCAAGUCAGGUGUGAAAACUAUGGGCUUAACCCAUAGACUGCACUUGAAACUGUAGUUCUUGAGUGAAGUAGAGGUAAGCGGAAUUCCUGGUGUAGCGGUGAAAUGCGUAGAUAUCAGGAGGAACACCGGUGGCGAAGGCGGCUUACUGGGCUUUUACUGACGCUGAGGCUCGAAAGCGUGGGGAGCAAACA
rnacentral:rRNA from 1 species